UACGACUACAUAUCAGGCAUAUCAAUAAGCGGAGGAAAAGAAACUAACAAGGAUUCCCUUAGUAACGGCGAGUGAAGCGGGAAGAGCUCAAAUUUGAAAUCUUCAAGGUUCUACCUUGACGAAUUGUAGUUUAAUAGAAGUGUUUUCUGUUAGUGGAGUUGGCUAAAAGUUCUUUGGAAUAGGACAUCAUAGAGGGUGAGAAUCCCGUAUUUGUACCAUUUCCUCCUAGCUGUUGUGAUACACUUUCAACGAGUCGGAUUGUUUGGGAAUGCAGUCCAAAAUGGGUGGUAAAUUUCAUCUAAAGCUAAAUAUUGGCGAGAGACCGAUAGCGGACAAGUACCGUGAGGGAAAGAUGAAAAGAACUUUGAAAAGAGAGUUAAACAGUACGUGAAAUUGUCAAAAGGGAAGCGUUUGACACCAGUGUUGUUUUUCUCGAAAAUCAAUUACUGAAUGGUUUGUUUUGAGGAGUUAUGACUUCAUCAGCUUGCUGCCUUCGUUUACUGAACUUUCUUGAAUGCACUUUUCGGUUAACAAGUCAACAUCAAUUUCUUUUGCUUGUAAAAGGGUAUGAGGAAGGUGGCUUUAACUUUCGGAUAAGUGUUUAUAGCCUUGUACCUCUGCAAUCGGAGAGAUUGAGGUCUGCAGCGUAGAUCCUUCGGGGUUAGAUACAUUUGUGCUAAGUUAUAGCUUUUCAUAGACAACUUGUUGACUAUGUUUAGUCUUGUAGCUUACUCGCUUAGUGCUAAUUUUACCUACGCUUAGGAUGUUGAACGCGCACAGAGUCUC
rnacentral:rRNA from 1 species